rnacentral:ncRNA from 1 species
UGUCUCCUCCACCCUCUGAAAAGGUGGAUUUGCCCCAAGUCGCAAGACUUGGGGCAUUUUUU